rnacentral:rRNA from 1 species
AGUGAACGCUGGCGGUAGGCCUAACACAUGCAAGUCGAACGGCAGCACAGUAAUAGCUUGCUCUUACGGGUGGCGAGUGGCGGACGGGUGAGGAAUACAUCGGAAUCUACUUUGUCGUGGGGGAUAACGUAGGGAAACUUACGCUAAUACCGCAUACGACCUACGGGUGAAAGCAUGGGAUCUUCGGACCUUGCGUGAUUGAAUGAGCCGAUGUCGGAUUAGCUAGUUGGCGGGGUAAAGGCCCACCAAGGCGACGAUCCGUAGCUGGUCUGAGAGGAUGAUCAGCCACACUGGAACUGAGACACGGUCCAGACUCCUACGGGAGGCAGCAGUGGGGAAUAUUGGACAAUGGGCGCAAGCCUGAUCCAGCCAUACCGCGUGUGUGAAGAAGGCCUUCGGAUUGUAAAGCCCUUUUAGUGGGAAAGAAAAGCAGUAGGUUAAUACCCCGCUGUUCUGACGGUACCCAAAGAAUAAGCACCGGCUAACUUCGUG